AUUGCAGCUCGUGCUUUGCAUGUAAAUGCCUGGUCAUGCAGGUUGUGCUCAGGUUUAGAACAUUUAUGCCUUGCUUCAGGCUAUGAUUGCACAGCGUGUAAACCACUAGUGUCUUGUCGUCAGCACAUUGUCUGAAGAAAUGCCAUGCCAGGGAACUCCUUGGAGCUGGCUUUAGUGUGCUCGGGUGCGGUGGGCAGUAGCAGGCAUACUGUCUAGGGGACAGCUGCUCCGCUUUUGCACCCUGCUCUAGGAGGAGGAGGUGGAUGUGGAGUAGGAGGUUGAGGAGGUGGUGACCAUGGCGGCGACGAUGCAUUCGGAUGUCUGCCCUAUCAACUUUCGAUGUUACUUUCUGCACCCACCAUGGUGACCACGGGUAACGGGGAAUCAGGGUUCGAUUCCGGAGAGGGAGCCUGAGAAAUGGCUACCACAUCCAAGGAAGGCAGCAGGCACACAAAUUACCCACUCCCGAUGCGGGAAGGUAGUGAUGAU